AUUGAACGCUGGCGGCAUGCCUUACACAUGCAAGUCGAACGGCAGCACGGGUUCUUGCACCUGGUGGCGAGUGGCGAACGGGUGAGUAAUACAUCGGAACAUGUCCUGUAGUGGGGGAUAGCCCGGCGAAAGCCGGAUUAAUACCGCAUACGAUCUACGGAUGAAAGCGGGGGACCUUCGGGCCUCGCGCUAUAGGGCUGGCCGAUGGCUGAUUAGCUAGUUGGUGGGGUAAAGGCCUACCAAGGCGACGAUCAGUAGCUGGUCUGAGAGGACGACCAGCCACACUGGGACUGAGACACGGCCCAGACUCCUACGGGAGGCAGCAGUGGGGAAUUUUGGACAAUGGGCGAAAGCCUGAUCCAGCAAUGCCGCGUGUGUGAAGAAGGCCUUCGGGUUGUAAAGCACUUUUGUCCGGAAAGAAAUCCUUGGCCCUAAUACGGUCGGGGGAUGACGGUACCGGAAGAAUAAGCACCGGCUAACUACGUG
rnacentral:rRNA from 1 species